UGAAUGGGAAGAUGGAGAUGGAUGUUGAGGGAGUUUCUCCGCGCCCGGAGCCCAUCCCCCGCUCCCAGGGGGCUGGCGGAGCCUGCCAGGCGCCGCCACAGCCGCCCCAGCCCCAGCCGCCGCCGCAGCAGCUGGCUCAGGAUGAACUGCCCGGCGAGAGUGCAGGCGCUGAGGACAGCGACGAUCCCGAGACGAGACCCAACGGCGAGAAAGGAGAGAGCAAGUAUUUCAGUGACAUCAUCCACUCAGGAGAGUUGGGGCAAGGCUGGCUGAGGUUCUCAAGGAGCUGA
rnacentral:lncRNA from 1 species